rnacentral:lncRNA from 1 species
AUGGACAACUCUGGCAAAGAAUAAGAUUGGUGUCUAAAAAGAUUUCCAAGAUCUGCUGUUAUAUAUAGACUUUGGAUUUAUCUAAGAUGUGUGCCAAGCAUGAAACAUCAUAUAUCUCCCUUGAAAAAAAUCCUAAAUGCUAUGACAUUAGCCACUUGCUUAUAAUUAAAGUAUGUUGCCAUUUCACCAAGCUUUCAUUUACAGGAGAAAGUGCAAAUUCCAUCUCCCUUGAACUUUAGCUACUUCCAACUUUUUUUCUUUGUUCUUUUCUUUAAAGCUUUGCAACAAAUGCAUCCCCAUAUGCUUAUAUUAGUUAAUCUAGUAUUAAACAUAUUGGCUGUGCAAAAUGUUGGCACCCAUUAAUAAAUGUUUUCAUUUUUUCAUUCUCUCUCUCUUUUUUUAACUUUAGAUUCUUCCUUUGACUACACAAGCAACAGCUGUCUAGCUGCCUGCACAAGACUGGAUCUAAUGCCUCUACUGAAAUCUAGGUCAAAACACUUGGAAUGCAUGAAUAUCAAACAGAGUUUUCAAAACAGCAAAUGAAUACAUCUUUAACUGGUGACAUUUUCCUGUAGCAUAUGGCUGCAAGCUCAGGGGACUGAAUGCUUUUUUGAUGAAUAUGUUCCAUCAAAAUCUAAGGGAUGGCAGUAGGCUUUUGCCACCUUCUGUUUUGCCUUAUGAAAUGAUAAUGCAAACUCAUAGAUAGAUACAAUGAUCACCAGGCUUUUACCUU